rnacentral:rRNA from 1 species
AGUGAACGCUGGCGGUAGGCCUAACACAUGCAAGUCGAACGGCGGCACAGUAAGAGCUUGCUCUUACGGGUGGCGAGUGGCGGACGGGUGAGGAAUACAUCGGAAUCUACUUUUUCGUGGGGGAUAACGUAGGGAAACUUACGCUAAUACCGCAUACGACCUACGGGUGAAAGCAGGGGAUCUUCGGACCUUGCGCGAUUGAAUGAGCCGAUGUCGGAUUAGCUAGUUGGCGGGGUAAAGGCCCACCAAGGCGACGAUCCGUAGCUGGUCUGAGAGGAUGAUCAGCCACACUGGAACUGAGACACGGUCCAGACUCCUACGGGAGGCAGCAGUGGGGAAUAUUGGACAAUGGGCGCAGGCCUGAUCCAGCCAUACCGCGUGGGUGAAGAAGGCCUUCGGGUUGUAAAGCCCUUUUGUUGGGAAAGAAAAGCAGCAGGUUAAUACCCCGCUGUUCUGACGGUACCCAAAGAAUAAGCACCGGCUAACUUCGUG